CUUUUGCUGGCGACCGGCGCACGGGUGAGUAACACGUAUCCAACCUGCCCUUUACUCGGGGAUAGCCUUUCGAAAGAAAGAUUAAUACCCGAUAGCAUAAUGAUUCCGCAUGGUUUCAUUAUUAAAGGAUUCCGGUAAAGGAUGGGGAUGCGUUCCAUUAGGUUGUUGGUGAGGUAACGGCUCACCAAGCCUUCGAUGGAUAGGGGUUCUGAGAGGAAGGUCCCCUACAUUGGAACUGAGACACGGUCCAA
rnacentral:rRNA from 1 species